GCCACAGAAGAAUUGCUGAAGGCUGGAUAUAAAAUGCAGCUCCUACCAAAACUGGUUGCAAAAAAGUAGCAGAAAAGGAAAAACCUAGCCCAACCCCUUUCUCUUCACACCUCCCAAUGUCACGCUGCUGCUUUGCUAUGACCAAACCAACUGACAAUGAGCAAGAGAACCCUGAUAGUGGAAUUCAUAGAGGUCAGUGUUCUGGGGCACACAGAGUAAAGGCCAGGGUAUGGAUCAAAGCACGUGUCGGGGGAGCAAACAGAGAGUAACCAGCACAGCCACCUCUGUCACCACUCAGCAUCCACCUGACCUUUAUCUGUAUUAAGAACUUUUCAUCCUCCACACAGAAGAAAUGAGCUCUCAUCAGUCACAGUAUCAUCGUUGAGUGAUGUCAGUUCUGUCAUGCCUGCAGCUGGAAACUAAUUUGUAACACUGGCCACCACUAGUCCUCUUCAUAAAAUGCAAAGUGGAGAGAGAUGUUCCAAGAUAAUGAAUACUUCCAUAGCAACAAAAGUCUGACAAUAAACUGUUACCUUGAUUUUCACAUGUUCAAAGAAAAAUCCCUCAAUGGCAACCAAACCAGAAGUCUCAGCACUGAAUAUGCAAUAAUGGCUACAAGGGAACCAUGUAUCUAUUUAAUUUUCUUAACAACACUGUUGAUUAUUCUCUUGGAAAGGAAUUCAGACUGGAUUAGAUGCUCUUAUUUUUCAGUUGUGUAGCUUGUCUUCUGCAAUUAAAAUGUGAAGCUGCUUUUGAAACAA